ensembl:snRNA U4 U4 spliceosomal RNA
AGCUUUGCGCAGUGGCAGUAUCGUAGCCAAUGAGGUUUAUCCGAGGCGCGAUUAUUGCUAAUUGAAAACUUUUCCCAAAAUUAAAAAUGAUGAUACUAUUUCUUGUACCUUUAAGAUAAA